CGCCGCACGUGUAGAGCUGUGUGCGUGUGACGAAAAAUGAUGGAUGAAAAACGCGAGGAGCGGGGUCUGAAGUCUUUCGUUGGUCACACACACAUGCAUCUACCAGCGGAUUGCGCUUCACCGAGUCUACCCAUCUCUCUCGAUCUACCAUGAUUUUUUCUGCUAUCGCACUCAUCCGGGUGUUAAGCAUCCUCAGUCUGUCCUGAACUUUCGUUGUGGAAGGAUGUGCGGCAGUGAUGUGCGAUUUCUUGUGUCCCCUACUUUCCUUGUUUACGUUUUGCGCAGUGUUGCUUCUUCUUCCAUUGUGUAAUGAUUUAUCCUAGCUAACUUGUUGAGUUACAGAUGCAUGCACCAUUCAUCAACGCCUACCUGUUGGCAUCAUCAACAAUCUUCAAAGUGGGUGACGGAAAGAAAUUGUUUUCCAGUUUUAAAAUAUUAAGCUAAGUGUUGCUCUCAUCAUAUACGCAAAACUUUCCAAAGUAAUACGUACUACAUACAUUAAUUAUUGGUUCAUUUUUAUUGACAGCGUUCAGCACAACUCAGCCACAAAACAACGCACUGGAUUGCGCUAAGAACCUAUCGAAACGCGCGCAGCCCCCGGGAGCGGUAGGAGAAAGGAAGAACGAGAGGAGGAAAAACUAAAGCCAGCGCGCAGCUCUGAUGGUACCCCGUACACGGUAAGAAGAAAAAAGAUCGAGAGUAGGAAGAACGGUAAAUUUGGAAGGGGGAGACCGUUCUGCCGUCUACACAGUGUGAGUAUGCCAAAGCACGUGUUGGAACGGAGGGAAAAAGUUGGAAUAAACCGCAUGCGAAUGUGUGCAUACAGCAAAUGUAAA